CUCACGCCCGCGCCAUGGACCUCCCCUCCUCCCGCCUGCACCGGGGCACCGGGGCUGCCAGGGGCCGCCGCCGAGACUCAUCCUUCAGCUUUAUAGACGACUGGUCCCAACAAAUUACCUCGGGGGUUGGCCUGCUGCUAGCAGCCUGCCGCUAAGUACACCUGGUCGUUGGCAUCCGAGUUCUGCUUCCCGGCCCAGACAGUGUUCCAUCCCGUCGGCACCACUUCUUCCACUUUGGCAGAUUGGAGCCUCUAUUUCUUACGCCCUCAGCUUUGAUCAACUCUGCCUGCAGAGACCUCCUUACCACGCCAUUAACUGCAGGCUCCUUGUUUAACAAGUGGGUAUUUUUAAUUUGGGGGAGGCGGAAAUCUUGGUCUCAAAUCAUUGUCUGGGAAAGUCUCUGGUUCAGUAAUCUGAGAUGAUACGGCCAUUUGGCUCACAGCCUAUAGCUUCUCCACUCAUGCUUUCUUUCUGACACUUCACAGCUCAAGAACUGCUUUGCUUUUAUUCACCUAAAUUAACUGGGUCAGAAAGCCUGACUCAUGACCAGAAAUGUAAAUAAGAUGUAUGUUUUCUAGGCAAAUGAUAUUAAAGCAUCCACUGCCA